rnacentral:rRNA from 1 species
GACGAACGCUGGCGGCGUGCUUAACACAUGCAAGUCGAACGGAAAGGCCCUGCUUUUGUGGGGUGCUCGAGUGGCGAACGGGUGAGUAACACGUGAGUAACCUGCCCUUGACUUUGGGGUAACUUCAGGAAACUGGGGCUAAUACCGGAUAGGAGCUCCUGCUGCAUGGUGGGGGUUGGAAAGUUUCGGCGGUUGGGGAUGGACGCGCGGCUUAUCAGCUUGUUGGGGGGGUAGUGGCUUACCAAGGCUUUGACGGGUAGCCGGCCUGAGAGGGUGACCGGCGACCAUGGGCCUGAGAGACGGAGCAGACGCCUACGGGAGGCAGCAGUGGGGAAUAUUGCACAAUGGGCGGAAGCCUGAGGCAGCAACGCCGCGUGCGGGAUGACGGCCUUCGGGUUGUAAACCGCUUUCGCCUGUGACGCAGCGUGAGUGACGGUAAUGGGUAAAGAAGCACCGGCUAACUACGUG